GGAGGAUUGGCAGAGCGGUUUAAUGCAACGGUUUUGAAAACCGUCGUCCCUUUGCGGGGACCGCAGGUUCGAAUCCUGUGUCCUCCGCCA
rnacentral:tRNA from 3 species